rnacentral:rRNA from 1 species
ACCGUAGGGCCACGUGGAUAACCUGCCCUAAGGUGGAGGAUAAUUCCGGGAAACUGGGGAUAAUACUCCAUAGGUUAAAGAUACUGGAAUGUUCUUUAGCCGAAAGUUCCGGCGCCUUAGGAUGGAUCUGCGGCCGAUUAGGUUGUUGUUGGGGUAGUGGCCCAACAAGCCUGUAAUCGGUACGGGUUGUGGGAGCAAGAGCCCGGAGAUGGAAUCUGAGACACGAUUCCAGGCCCUACGGGGCGCAGCAGGCGCGAAAACUUUACAAUGCAGGAAACUGUGAUAAGGGAACCCCGAGUGCCCGUAUAUGCGGGCUGUCCGGAUGUUUAAAACGCAUCCGAAGAAAGGGCCGGGCAAGACCGGUGCCAGCCGCCGCGGUAAUACCGGCGGCUCGAGUGGUGGCCACUUUUAUUGGGCUUAAAGCGUUCGUAGCUUGAAUAAUAAGUCUCUUGGGAAAUCUGCAGGCUUAACCUGCAGGCGUUUAAGAGAAACUGUUGUUCUAGGAACCGGAAGAGGUGAGAGGUACUCCGGGGGUAGGAGUGAAAUCCUGUAAUCCCCGGGGGACCACCGAUGGCGAAGGCAUCUCACCAGGACGGCUUCGACAGUGAGGAACGAAAGCUGGGGGAGCGAACCGGAUUAGAUACCCGGGUAGUCCCAGCCGUAAACGAUGUGCGUUAGGUGUGCCGGUGACCACGAGUCACUGGGGUGCCGAAGGGAAACCGUGAAACGUACCGCCUGGGAAGUACGGUCGCAAGGCUGAAACUUAAAGGAAUUGGCGGGGGAGCAC